AACGGAGGGUGCAAGCGUUGCUCGGAAUCACUGGGCGCAAAGGGUGCGUAGGCGGUCUCGCAAGUCUGGCGUGAAAGCCCAAGGCUCAGCCUUGGAAGUGCGCUCGAAACGGCAAGGCUGGAGUGCCGGAGGGGAGAGUGGAAUUCCCGGUGUAGCGGUGAAAUGCGUAGAGAUCGGGAGGAAUACCGGUGGCGAAAGCGACUCUCUGGACGGCAACUGACGCUGAGGCACGAAAGCGUGGGGAGCAAACAGG
rnacentral:rRNA from 1 species